CUCCCCUUCCUCCUCCUCCUCCUCCUCCUCCUCCUUCUUCUUCUUCUUCUUCUUCUUCUUCUUCUUCUUCUUCCCUGUUAACAACCUUGAUGGCAUGCAUUAAAAACCCUAACCCCAGAAAAUCAAAAGCCCAAAAAUCAAAAGGGAACUCGAUCGGUUAAGGAAAGAACAAGAAGAUGUGCUUAUUUCAACAAGCUACACAAGAAGCUUCAACCUAGAUUUCCAGCUCAUUAGUUGGUCAACUUGACAUUUUUCUGCCAUCUGGACCUCCAGGACAACAACGAAGAAAAAUGGGGAAGAAGAAGAGGAAGAAGAGGGCGAGUUAACGGGAUUAAAUACCACAUCAGCAAAAACUAACGGGAGGUAACGACAGGAUCAAAAUGAAAAUGAACUAAAAGUUUGACUGUAUUGCAUGUUUCAAAAGUUGAGUGACCAAAAAGCAAG